AUUAUACUCCCUCCGUCCUGAAUUACUUGUCGUAGGUAUGGAUGUAUCUAGAUGUAUUUUAGUUUUAGAUACAUCCAUUUCUAUCCAUUUCUGUGAGGAGUAAUUUGGGACGGAGGGAGUACAUA
rfam:Triticum urartu cultivar G1812 contig687257, whole genome shotgun sequence.